rnacentral:rRNA from 1 species
AUUGAACGCUGGCGGCAGGCCUAACACAUGCAAGUCGAGCGGAUGAAGGGAGCUUGCUCCUGGAUUCAGCGGCGGACGGGUGAGUAAUGCCUAGGAAUCUGCCUGGUAGUGGGGGAUAACGUCCGGAAACGGGCGCUAAUACCGCAUACGUCCUGAGGGAGAAAGUGGGGGAUCUUCGGACCUCACGCUAUCAGAUGAGCCUAGGUCGGAUUAGCUAGUUGGUGGGGUAAAGGCCUACCAAGGCGACGAUCCGUAACUGGUCUGAGAGGAUGAUCAGUCACACUGGAACUGAGACACGGUCCAGACUCCUACGGGAGGCAGCAGUGGGGAAUAUUGGACAAUGGGCGAAAGCCUGAUCCAGCCAUGCCGCGUGUGUGAAGUAGGUCUUCGGAUUGUAAAGCACUUUAAGUUGGGAGGAAGGGCAGUAAGUUAAUACCUUGCUGUUUUGACGUUACCAACAGAAUAAGCACCGGCUAACUUCG